rnacentral:rRNA from 1 species
GAUGAACGCUAGCUACAGGCUUAACACAUGCAAGUCGCGGGGCAGCAUGGGGGUUGCUUGCAAUCCCCGAUGGCGACCGGCGCACGGGUGAGUAACGCGUAUCCAACCUGCCCUUCACCACGGGAUAACCCGGCGAAAGUCGGACUAAUACCGUAUGUUGUCCAUUGACGGCAUCCGAUUUGGACGAAAGGUUUGGCGGUGAAGGAUGGGGAUGCGUCCGAUUAGCUGGACGGCGGGGUGACGGCCCACCGUGGCGACGAUCGGUAGGGGUUCUGAGAGGAAGGUCCCCCACACUGGAACUGAGACACGGUCCAGACUCCUACGGGAGGCAGCAGUGAGGAAUAUUGGUCAAUGGGCGUAAGCCUGAACCAGCCAAGUAGCGUGCAGGAUGACGGCCCUAUGGGUUGUAAACUGCUUUUAUGCGGGGAUAAAGUGGCCCACGUGUGGGUCUUUGCAGGUACCGCAUGAAUAAGGACCGGCUAAUUCCGUG